AGCCCAGGGUAAGGGGGUCCCUGCAGGGAAAAAGGAAGAUGUCCAGGGCCUGCAGCAGCCCCCAGCUGCAGGCUCUGGGAAGAUCAGUCAGAGCAAGCCAGGAGAAGGGGGAGUGGGUGGGGGAAACGCAGGCUAGGCGGAGGACCCAGGGCCGGGGCGGGCCUGGGGCUGGAGGGGGGUGGGGCAGAAGGCCAGGGUAGCUGGAGCGAAGGAGCUGGGGGGGAAUUCGAGGCCACAGGAGGGACCCGGAGGGAUCCGGAGGCCACAGGGCUGAGAUCCGAAGGGCCUGGGCCCUCGCAAGGACUUGUGUCUUUAUCCCCAGAAAGCCACUCCGAGGUUUGAAAACUUAGCUACGGCCACUGGGUGGGGAAGGGAGGCGGCAGCGGCGGCUCCAAGGCACUGGGCCCUGGGGUCCGCGAGGGGAGCAGCCACCCACCGCUUUCCCGACACCUCACGGCCCUGGGCGGAGCCCUCGGCCCUGCCACCACGCCCACAGCUCGGCGGCGAGGCUCCUCCUCCAUCGCUGGUUGGUCGGGGCGGGGACACCUGAUGCGGAGCGACCAAUCGCCGCGCCGGAUCUCGGAGCCCCGCCACCCCGGCCCGGCCCGACUGUGCGGCGAGCGCUGACAGGAGCACCGGCACGGGGCGGCACAGGGCGGGCCGGGUGGUCCGGACCACACCACUUCCGGCCCCAAGGCAAGUCCGCAGUUAGCAAUUCCCGGGACGUCCCCGUGGCCGAAUGACCAGUCCCCACGAACUUCCUGUGACGGUGUUCUCAGAGGCCGCCCCGGGCCCGCGGUCGUUUCUCGUGCGGUCUGGCACCUCGUCGCCGUCCCACCGCGCCCUGCCGAGCCGCAGUUCCUGGCCUCUGAGGGUCGGGGGCCAGCGGGGGACGCCCCUCCCCUUCUGUGAGCUCCCGACCUGCAGGCCGCCGCCUCCGCGAAGCCUUCCUUGCAGGCCGCGCGGCAGACUCCCCGCAUGUCCGAUCUCCGGGCCUGGGAGUUAUAGUCAUCUGGGGAUGCUUCUCCCAGAGGGGCACGGCCGGGGCAACGGCCCCUCCCCAGACGGGACCCCAGGCUCGUCGGGGGCCCGUCAAGGCGAGGUGAAGGGCGGAAGUUGGCCGGGGCCAGCUGCGUCCCGUACCUUCCGCUGACUGCAGGGAGACGCGGGCGGCCCCUCGGGGCGUGCGAGGCUGGGCGGCCGGGAGCCCCGCCGUCCCUCUCCGGACUCUCGCCUGCGCAGGUCCGGAUGGGGACCCCAGAGUUCCCAGAAGAACCCAGCAUUCUCCAGCUCCCACCUGUGGCUGUGCCAGUCACACCCGCCCUGCUGAGCCUCCUCUAGCUCCCAUGUGCCAGCCGGUCCAGAGCAUCGCCAUCCCGACCACACCUUGUGCUCAUCUCUCUCCAGGCCUUUGUUUUGGCUGCUUCUCCCCACCCCCCACCCCCAGGGCUAUUUUGCUGGUCAGAACUUCACCAUUCCCUGAGACUCAGCCUGUACAUCACCUCCCAGAAGCUUCCGUUCCUCAUUCUCCGGCUCCUCAAUCCUGGCUAGGGGAGCUGGCCCCGUGCUCCCUGGACGCUCAGGUUCCAUCAUCUGACUCACAUCUCUGCCUCCCCUCCCCGAGCUGGGCUGGCUACAGAACUCUCUGGGGAGGGCUUUGGAGUCCAACAGGACGGGCUUCCCCAGAACGCCAGUUUCCAGGGUUGUACAAGGGGGACAUGGAUCAGUGGUCCCUAUCGUGCGGAUGGGUGGAGAGAGCUGUGUUCGACCCGGGGGACCCAGCAGUGGAGACAGUCCAGCCUGCCAGCAUGGAAGAGGCUCGAACUAACAUUAGUCCUCGUGGGUUGGACUGGAGUCGUGGGUUUGGGAGAGGAAGACCACAGAGGUGACCUGCCCUCCUCAUCAGACGAUUGAUUUCAUCUCUGCAAGGGUACAUCCUGUCAACCUGACACGUCACUGUUCCUGUUGACCUUGGCCCCCUGGUGGAGGUAUGUUGGGCAGUUUCCUCCAUUGUAAUGUGACUCUUUUCCCAGCUUCCACACUUUGGAAGGAAGUCUCUGUGCAGCCCAUGCCUGAGGAGCAGGGAGGUGGGCUCCUCCUCCUUGAAGGUGGGGUAUUGGCCUGAAUUACUUGGAAUUCCUCUGCGUGGAAAAUCUCGCUUCUCCAUUUGGUUACACAAUUAUUUAUUUAUUUAUUUAGUUAGUUUUAAAGAAUUAUUUAAGCAUGCUCCCCAGGCGCCCCUAUGCAAUUAUUUAUUGAUACCAGUAUGGACUCAUGAGAUUUGUUUAAUACUUUGGGCUAUAAUCUAAUGCUGUCUUAUUAUUUGUUGCUCAAAUUGUUGUAGCUUUGGCCACUGGGAACUCUUUCAGUUGAUUUCUGUGUCCCUUUGAUGUGCCCCAUCAUUGGGUGUGUAUGUGGUGUGUGUGUAUGAGGCAUGUGUGUAUGUGGCGUGUGUGUGAAGAGUG